GAUGCAAGGGAUGCGCGGCACCCAGGUGGCAGAGUCUAAGGGGCGGCAGCUAAGCCUUUGUUACAUAGUUGAUUUUUCAAAUUCGAAAUUAAGAAUUCCUUUCUAACGCUGAUUAUGAAAAAAAUCUGUUACAUUGUUUUCCUGAGCAAAUUAAAAUUUUCUUUUAAAUGUUUUCCAUAGUGACCCUGAAAGCUAUAAAUUAUCCUCGUUUCAAUACAUUAUUAACAUCUACUACAGUAAUUGUAUUGUACGAACUAACUCACCAGCCAUUAUGUUUUGUUCGAAUUUUCUGUUAAUUACUAGUAAACAUAAUGAAGAGGCAACCUAUUUUGAGGAUUAUUUACGAGGUACUUAUGAAUCUACUGUAAAAUAAAAGGUAAGUUACAUUGGCUUCUAUUUUUUAUGUAAAAUAGUUUCCGAUCCCAGUAAAAUUUCCAAAAAAAAAUCCAUAAAGUUUUAGAAGUAAAACGAGAACUGCAUCUUCAAUUGGGAAAUGGGAUAUUUGCUCCGAGCAAUUUUAUAGAAAGGCAUAAAAAAGUAAAAUAAAAAAUAUAUGUAUCUAAUAAAAUGAUAAUGCAUUAAAUAAAAAUAUUUCAUGUACGCAUUGAAAUAUUUUUAUUUAAUAUAUUCUGGUGUCCGGAUGUUCCUUGACUGAUAAUGACUGUUUGUUUUGAUUAUACUAACACCUAAAGCAGAUUUGGGAGCGUUCUCCACUUUUAUUCUGUUAAGAAUUUGGUAAAAAUUGCUUGGGAGUUUUCAAUCCAAUGACCCGUGGAAAAACCUCUAAAAUUUUGUCAGUCUUUGGCCAGAAUCCAAUGAAGGAUCUGCAGAGAUUGAGAUCUAAUCCUCCGACCAAUCACAUUGAAUUCUGGAAGACCUUGAAAGACCUGUCGCAUAUCCAAUGGACAGGCAGGCAUAGAGUUCGGAUUUCCAGACACCUGCAUACUGAAAAUAGUAGUGGGAGCAGCUGAGUGAGAUAAUUGUGUAAUUAUAAACUUGUUCACAAACGAGGACAACACACAAGUGCCAAGACUAACUUCCGUGUCUCAUCAUCACUUCGGCACCUGACAUCGCUGAAUCUUUGAACUCUCUCUCUGAUAAAACCCAGGUAUGAGUUUAUUCCUAAAUUCGUCAUUCGGUUAUUUGUAAAAUAGUAUUGCUAAUUUUGAUCUAUCGGAUCCUCUUUUCCUACACCAAUAGAGAAUAGGUCAGUGAAGUUGACCUCCUAAAGUGAAGGCAUAAACGAUUAACUAUGACCAUGAUAAAGGCCUUUGUUAUUGUCUUAAAAUUUUUUCCUGAAAACUCGACAUGGUACCGGCAAAUUUUAAAGUGACGUUUCACACUGUAUAUUUUAAAAAAUCGUUGUAUCUUCUGUGAAAAUAAAGAUUUUGAGAAACGUCACUUCUAAUAAUUUAAUUUCUUCAAAAUGAAAAUGAUCUAGAACUGAUCAUAAAAUAACAGUUCAAAUAGGCACAUAAAACCUAGUGUGGCAUGUAUAUUAAUAAACUGUGCAAAAAUUAUGCAUUUUAUGGCAAUUUUAAAUAAUUUUAUUGUUAUAGAUGCCGCCAUAUUGCCACUUAAGCAGACAUUUUUUACAAUUUUAGAUUAAUUUUAGUAUGUUAAAAUAUUAAAUUUAUCUAACGAUUAUACGGGAUAUUUAUCGCGUUUUAUAAAUAUUGCCGCAACUUAUUCGUUAUACUAUAUGAAUCCGCGCCAUUAGAGAUAGCUUCAUACGAUGGUCAACUGUAUAUGUUAUCUUUAAAAAUAUUAUUUGUGCUCGAUCACCUUUAAAGCAAAACAAAGCAGAUUAUCAAAUUUAGCUACUUAUUUAUCAAAUAUUCUGCAGAGCAAUUAAUUUAUUUCGAUGAUAAAAUGAUAAAUGUGCAAAGCUGAAUUAUAAUAUCUUUUUUUGUUAAUUUGCACCAUACAUUAAAUUAUAAUCACCGUAGAAUUAUAUUUAUGUUGUUUUUCUUUGUUAGAUAAUUUUUAUGAUAUACUGUAUGUUAUUUUCUUUGUAUUAUAAAAAUUCAUUUAGUUUAUUUAUUUUUAUUU
rnacentral:lncRNA from 1 species